rnacentral:lncRNA from 1 species
GGCACGGUGUAGGUAGGAAAGUCCAGAGAGAGGGCUGGUGUUUUAAGGCACCAGAAGGAAAGCCAUUCUCCAAGCGAUGGGAACUGACCCUAGGGCCAUUUUUUGUCGGGGAGGGUAUAGGGUUGUGAUUUACUGACAAGGUUUGUCUCUGUGUCCCUGCCCAAAUCUCAUGUUCAAUUAUAAUUCCUAGUGUUGGGGGAGGGACCUGGUGAGAAGUGAUUGUAUCAUGGGGCAGAUUUUCCUCUUGCUGUUCUCAUGAUAGUGAGUGAGUUCUCACGAGAUUCGUUUGUUUAAAAGCAUGUAGCACUUCCCCCUUUGCUCUCUGUCUCUUGCCACUAUGGUAGAUGUGUUUGCUUUUCUUUUGCACUUCCACCAUAAUUCCAAGUUUUCCCGAGGCCUCCCAGCGAUGGUUCCUGUGCAGCCUGUGGACUCGUGAACAGCUGGGCACAGGCUGGUGUCCCAGAGAAGAGAGGAGGAAGGAAAAGCAGCCCUGCAGCCUGUGGAACUGUGAACUGUGAGUCAAUUAAAGCUCUGUUCUUCAUAAUUUAUGCAGUCUCAGGUAGUUUUUUAACAGCAUUGUGAGAAUGGACCAAUGCACUUUAUUAGGUGCUGAACGGUAGGAAUCAGUGAUGGGUCUGUGACAGAGGAAGCCUGUCGCAUGCACGACAGGAAGUGGAAGCG